rnacentral:rRNA from 1 species
CCUACGGGAGGCAGCAGUGAGGAAUAUUGGUCAAUGGGCGCGAGCCUGAACCAGCCAAGUCGCGUGAGGGAGGACGGCCCUACGGGUUGUAAACCUCUUUUGCCGGGGAGCAACGGGCGUCACGUGUGGCGCCACUGAGAGUACCCGGAGAAAAAGCAUCGGCUAACUCCGUGCCAGCAGCCGCGGUAAUACGGAAGGUCCGGGCGUUAUCCGGAUUUAUUGGGUUUAAAGGGAGCGUAGGCCGCAUGUUAAGCGUGCUGUGAAAUGUCCGGGCUCAACCCGGGCCUUGCAGCGCGAACUGGCGUGCUUGAGUCCGCGGAGGGAAGGCGGAAUUCGUGGUGUAGCGGUGAAAUGCUUAGAUAUGACGAAGAACCCCGAUUGCGAAGGCAGCUGGCUGCAGCGGAACUGACGCUGAUGCUCGAAAGCGCGGGUAUCGAACAGGAUUAGAUACCCCGGUAGUC